rnacentral:rRNA from 1 species
CGUGCCCUUUUCUACGGAAUAGCCUCGGGAAACUGAGAGUAAUACCGUAUACGCCCUUCGGGGAAAGAUUUAUCGGAGAAGGAUCGGCCCACGUUAGAUUAGUUAGUUGGUGGGGUAACGGCCUACCAAGACUACGAUCUAUAGCUGGUUUGAGAGGAUGAUCAGCAACACUAGGACUGAGACACGGCCCAGACUCCUACGGGAGGCAGCAGUGGGGAAUCUUAGACAAUGGGCGAAAGUGAUCUAGCCAUGCCGCGUGGACGAAGGCCCUAGGGUCGUAAAGCUCUUUCGCCAGGGAUGAUAAUGACAGUACCUGGUAAAGAAACCCCGGCUAACUCCGUGCCAGCAGCCGCGGUAAUACGGAGGGGGUUGGCGUUGUUCGGAAUUACUGGGCGUAAAGCGCACGUAGGCGGACUAUUAAGUCAGGGGUGAAAUCCCGGGGCUCAACCCCGAACUGCCCUUGAUACUGGUAGUCUAGAGUUCGAGAGAGGUGAGUGGAAUUCCGAGUGUAGAGGUGAAAUUCGUAGAUAUUCGGAGGAACACCAGUGGCGAAGGGGCUCACUGGCUCGAUACUGACGCUGAGGUGCGAAAGUGUGGGGAGCAAACAGGAUUAGAUACCCUGGUAGUCCACACCGUAAACGAUGAAUGCCAGACGUCGGGGGGCUUGCCUUCGGUGUCACACCUAACGGAUUAAGCAUUCCGCCUGGGGAGUACGGUCGCAAGAUUAAAACUCAAAGGAAUUGACGGGGGCCCACACAAGCGGUGGAGCAUGUGGUUUAAUUCGAAGCAACGCGCAGAACCUUACCAACCCUUGACAUCCUGGGACCGCUAGAGAGAUCUAGUUUUCACUUCGG